rnacentral:rRNA from 1 species
UACGGAGGGUGCAAGCGUUAUCCGGAUUCACUGGGUUUAAAGGGUGCGUAGGUGGGCAGGUAAGUCAGUGGUGAAAUCUCCGGGCUUAACCCGGAAACUGCCGUUGAUACUAUUUGUCUUGAAUAUUGUGGAGGUAAGCGGAAUAUGUCAUGUAGCGGUGAAAUGCUUAGAUAUGACAUAGAACACCAAUUGCGAAGGCAGCUGACGAAAACUGUAACUGACGCUGAGGCUCGAAAGCGUGGGGAUCAAACAGGA